GACUAGAAGCCGCAGUACUGUACAAGA
rnacentral:piRNA from 1 species